rnacentral:lncRNA from 1 species
ACCGGGAGUCCUUACUCUAGAGGAGAAUGGUAAUACUCUUGAUCCCGCUCUAGCCCAAUCCGAGCAACUAAGUGGGUUGGCCCAACCCAACCAGAAUUCGUCUCAUAAUUUAGCACCACCAUUCCUUGACAAAGGCUAGCUGUGGAUUCCAAUCAUCCCCAAAUGUUUGAAUUCCCAAGAGGAGCAACCUGCAAGGUGUCUUCUACAUCGAGCUUUGAGAAAGCUGGCUAAGGUUUCUCCUUCCCACUAAUCCAGCUGAGAUGGUGGACCUUCGCCGG